GUGCCAGCCGCCGCGGUAAUACAGAGGUCUCGAGCGUUAGGCGGAAUCACUGGGCUUAAAGCGUGUGUAGGCGGGUCGUUAAGUACCUUGUGAAAUCCCAUGGCUCAACCAUGGAACUGCUUGGUAUACUGGCGAUCUUGUGCAACCUAGGGGCGAGCGGAACAGAUGGUGGAGCGGUGAAAUGCGUAGAUAUCAUCUGGAACGCCAAUGGUGAAAACAGCUCGCUGGGGGUUUGCAGACGCUGAGACACGAAAGCCAGGGGAGCGAACGGGAUUAGAUACCCCGGUAGUCC
rnacentral:rRNA from 1 species